GACGAACAGUCCUAACGUUGUUCGGAAUCACUGGGCUUAAAGGGCGCGUAGGCGGCCCAUCAAGUCCGGGGUGAAAGCCUCCAGCUUAACUGGAGAAGUGCCUCGGAUACUGGUGGGCUCGAGGGAGGUAGGGGCAACUGGAACUUCCGGUGGAGCGGUGAAAUGCGUUGAUAUCGGAAGGAUCGCCGGUGGCGAAAGCGAGUUGCUGGAUCUCUUCUGACGCUGAGGCGAGAAAGCUAGGGGAGCAAACGGG
rnacentral:rRNA from 1 species